rnacentral:lncRNA from 1 species
UGCCUGUCAGCCAGCAAGACGUGCGGAAGAGGAGAGGCGAGGCACCCGGAUCCCUUUACGCACCUCCAUAGCUGAACUCUCUCUGUGGGACUGCACAGCUGAGCCCCGUACAAAAGCAGGACACGGGUCUUGAAGAAGUGCACCCAGGCUGGCAAAACCAACCACAACCUGUAGUCGAAGCACCGCACCACCGCAAUGCCAGGCCCCAAGCAAGUCUCAAAGCAAGUGUCAAAGGAGUCAUCCAGAGCCGUGGUCCCAAUUCGCCGUGCGCUGUCCAUCCAAAGUUUGAGUGAAGCCGAGGACCCGUGGGAGGGGGUCACACUGAACCGCUGUCUGGUAGUGGCAGUCAUUGUCUUAGUGAUCAGCUCCAGCAUUCAAUGCCUGAAUGAAGCUCUGGAGGCUUUUGGGAGGGAGGCUGAGGAAUCAGGAGCAGUGGAGGGAGGUGCACUGAGUAUAACCCCAGAGGAGGAGAGCUCUGUGUGGGAAAGCCUGUUCUGGUGGAGAAGAGCGCAAGAAGAUGAUGAUGAUGAUGAUGAUGACGAUCAAGACACAGCAGAAAAACCAAGGAGAAAGAAAGCACAGGGGGAGUUUGUGAGGGUCAGGCAGAAGGAAAAACCCUGGAAAGGCAUCUUGGUUGAAAAGGAGGAUGGGGAAGUUAGGGGAAAACGUGAAAAGGAACGGGGCCGGUGGCAGGAAGAGGAGGAAGGAAGAGUGAGGGGGAAGAAAGACAGAAGGAGAGAUGGGUGAAGAAGACUGAGAGGUCCAGGAUAUAUCGGCGAGAGGGAGAACACACACUUUUCAUCCUCAUCCUUUUGUGUUCAUUGGGAAGAAGGAUGGUUCAGUCACCGAGGCACCCAGUCUACACCUUUCCAUAUCUGCAAAAAUUACACUGACACACAACAUCAUUUGGAUGUGGCCACUGAAAGCUGGGAAAAUAUUCUCCCAUUAAUUUACUUUCAUUGAAAGCAACAGAAAGCAAUUUUUCCACUAUUAAAUGUUUCUCCUUAACGUCUUCAUUAAACCGAUCAAAGAAUGCGACUUAAUACGGUUCGCUGCUAUUUUCUCGGAAAUGUUUGCGUUACGCCACGCGUCCCUGGAGGUACUUAUUGUCACCGACUACAUCUUGGUUCCGUUUUGAUACCAAAACAUUUAAUCAGUUCACAGGGUUCACCUGCAGAUAUGCUGCUGAAGUAGCAUUAGUCCAAGUACAUCAUCAACAGUCACGGCAUUUGCAUUCAAGGCUUAGCAAAAUUCCAGAGUAAUUUAUGCAGUUAUACAGUAUAUAAAUCACAGCA